AGGACGAACGCUGGCGGCGUGCAUAACACAUGCAAGUCGAGCGGAAAGGCCUUUCGGGGUACUCGAGCGGCGAACGGGUGAGUAACACGUGAGUAAUCUGCCCAUCGCUUCAGGAUAGCCAUCGGAAACGGUGAUUAAUACUGGAUAUGACAUUCCUUCGCAUGUUGGGGUGUGGUAAAGUUUUUUCGGCGGUGGAUGUGCUCGCGGCCUAUCAGCUUGUUGGUGGGGUAAUGGCCUACCAAGGCUUUGACGGGUAGCCGGCCUGAGA
rnacentral:rRNA from 1 species